rnacentral:rRNA from 1 species
GGGCGGGGGCACGGGGGGACUCCUACGGGAGGCAGCAGUCGGGAAUUUUGGGCAAUGGGCGAAAGCCUGACCCAGCAACGCCGCGUGAAGGAUGAAGUCUCUCGGGAUGUAAACUUCGUAAGAAUAGGAAGAAUAAAUGACGGUACUAUUUGUAAGGUCCGGCUAACUACGUGCCAGCAGCCGCGGUAAUACGUAGGGACCAAGCGUUGUUCGGAUUUACUGGGCGUAAAGGGCGCGUAGGCGGCAAUUCAAGUCAGUUGUGAAAUCUCCGAGCUUAACUCGGAACGGUCAACUGAUACUGCUUUGCUAGAGUACAGAAGGGGCAAUCGGAAUUCUUGGUGUAGCGGUGAAAUGCGUAGAUAUCAAGAGGAACACCUGAGGUGAAGACGGGUUGCUGGGCUGAUACUGACGCUGAGGCGCGAAAGCUAGGGUAGCAAACGGGAUUAGAUACCCCGGUAGUCCUAGCCCUAAACGAUGAAUACUUGGUGUCUGGAGUUUUUAUUCUCUGGGUGCCGUCGCUAACGUUUUAAGUAUUCCGCCUGGGGAGUACGCACGCAAGUGUGAAACUCAAAGGAAUUGACGG